GUUCGCCUGAGAUGUUCGACACUCCUGUCAGUUUUUGAACCUACAGUUACUUUAAACGGGAAUCCUAUAUCUCCUCAUCUUCAAUGUCACGCCUCCGGCCCUGCGCAUGCGCAGACAAGCUAAGGGAGAGGAAGGCAGCGACUGAGGCUGCGGUAACCCACCUGGCGUUCGCUAGGAGUCAAAAAGCAGGAAACGACAUCACCGGGUACAAC
rnacentral:other from 1 species